UACAGAGGUCCCAAGCGUUGUUCGGAAUUACUGGGCGUAAAGGGCGCGUAGGCGGCGAUCCUAGUCAGAUGUGAAAGUCCUGGGCUUAACCUGGGGACUGCAUUUGAUACUGGAUUGCUUGAAUUCGGGAGAGGAUAGCGGAAUUCCCAGUGUAGAGGUGAAAUUCGUAGAUAUUGGGAAGAACACCGGUGGCGAAGGCGGCCAUCUGGACCGACAUUGACGCUGAGGCGCGAAAGCGUGGGGAGCAAACAGG
rnacentral:rRNA from 1 species